GUGCUCCCUUUGGAAGCACAUAUACUAAAAUUGGAACAAUACAGAGAACAUUAGCAUGGCCCUGCAUGAGAAUGACACGCAAAUUCAUGAAGCGUUCUGUAGUUUU